GACGGAGGGGGCUAGCGUUGUUCGGAAUUACUGGGCGUAAAGCGUGCGUAGGCGGCCUUUCAAGUUGGGUGUGAAAGCCCGGGGCUCAACCCCGGAAAUGCGCCCAAGACUGUUUGGCUAGAGUCUCGGAGAGGUGAGUGGAACUCCCAGUGUAGAGGUGAAAUUCGUAGAUAUUGGGAAGAACACCAGUGGCGAAGGCGGCUCACUGGGGGUUUUCUGACGCUGAGGAACGAAAGCCAGGGUAGCGAACGGG
rnacentral:rRNA from 1 species